rnacentral:tRNA from 1 species
UGGGAUGUCGCCAAGUGGUAAGGCAGCGGGUUUUGGUCCCGCCAUUUCGGGGGUUCGAAUCCUCCCAUCCCAG